CCGGGGAAAUGUUCAACCACACUAGUAAUUUUUUAAGUGGAAAAUUACUGCCUAUUUAAUCAUUUGCCAAAAAAAAAAAAAAGCUUUAAAUGGGGGAGGGGAGCCGCUGUAGCUCAGCUGCGGAGCGCCAGCUUCCCAUGUGAGGACCCCAGUACCCCCUUUUAAAGAAUGCUUUGAAUGGUAACACCUAAUUUUGGUCGUUUUGAGGCAUAUUAGCAAACCAUCCUGAAGCGAAAGACACACAUUCUACAAACCAAGACCCAGAGAAAAAUACCAACAGGCCAGACUUUCAAGGGCAAGGACAUCAAAAUAUAGAAGAGAAUCGAAAAGCACACAACACAGACACAAAUGAUUCCAAGGCCUUCAUGAACUGAAGAAAGAACGAUUGCUCGCAGUUUCUGCUCUUUUAUAUUUCAGUCGGGGACUGGUAGGAUUGUUUAAAAUAAUAUGAACUCUGAAAUCCAUAAAGUUUUGCUAGCCCUACUAAGUUCAGCCUUUGAUACUUUAUCUCGAAGUGUUUAUC
rnacentral:lncRNA from 1 species